CCCAGUGUCUCAGUGUUCCCAUUUCUCCCAGGGUCCCCAUGUCACUAAGAGACCCAGGGACACUGAGACACUUGGGGACCCUGGGAGACAUGGGGCACUGAGACACUUG